UCUCACUUAAUCACACAUUAAUCAAAAGGAGAAUUGAAAAGGAAUUAGGGUUUUACGUGAAUGGAUAUUGAACUUAUCUCCUUCCUCUCUCACGAACAAGAGCGGUGGCCGGACCUCCCUCUCCGAUCAUUCUCCGGCCACCAACUGUUAGACUCACGUCGCCUCCUCUCAUCUCUCUUCCGUUCUCAAUACCUUCCUCAUAUUUUCAGAUUGGUCUCUCUGAUUACAAACUCUCCGGCUCACUCUCUCGAAUCAAGUUCUCUUCACAUCAAUCUCUCUUGUCUCGCCUCCGGCAGAAUUAUGAUGCAUUUCAAGCUCGCCGACAAAGCAUAAUCGGAAAAUCGCUUCAAGAAAUCAGUGAUGAAGAUGAUGGAUUCGGUUCAGAAAGGGAAUGUUGAAGAUUGAUGAUGAUUGUCAAUGAAUCAGGCUUCGGUUGCAAAGAGAUGAAGAUGAAGGUACUGACUCGGUUUACGGUUCGAUUCGGUUUGAAUCCUUCAUGAUGCAAGGGCUGUUUCGAAUGUUUAUCUUUGUGCCAUAUUGAUUCUGAUUCUAUUUUUAUGAGUCUAUUGUAUUGGAGCUUUGAAUCUCUUGACAUAAUUUUCUUUGUAAUGGAUAUGUAUUGAAAUGGGUUUAAUGAAAAUGGUUUUAUGUAAUUUUGCUAAUGAACUUUGAAUUAUGGUAGGGAUUGGAUGCCUUGUAAUUAUAAU